ACCUGGGUUCAGUUACCAGGACACACAUGGUUGCUCAUACCAUCUCUAACUCCAGCUCCAAGGAAUCCGAUGCCCUCUUCUCAAGUCUGAGGAUACCAGGCCUCUGGGUGGUGGGUUUCCUAGACCAAGCUAGACUCGAACUCAAGAGACACCCGCCUGUCUCAGUCAGAGUGCUGGGAUUAAAGGCAUGCGCUACCA